rnacentral:rRNA from 1 species
UCCGUAGUGAACCUGCGGAGGGAUCAUUACACAAUAU